UACGUAGGGACCAAGCGUUGUCCGGAAUCAUUGGGCGUAAAGAGCGUGUAGGCGGCUUGUUAAGUCUAGCUUGAAAUCUCGGGGCUCAACCCCGAGCGGUCGUGAGAAACUGGCAGGCUAGAGUGCGGGAGAGGAGAGUGGAAUUCCUGGUGUAGCGGUGAAAUGCGCAGAUAUCAGGAAGAAUACCGAUGGCGAAGGCAGGGUUCUGGGCUGACACUGACGCUCAUGCACGAAAGCGUGGGGAGCAAACAGG
rnacentral:rRNA from 1 species